rnacentral:rRNA from 1 species
UACGUAGGGUGCAAGCGUUGUCCGGAAUUAUUGGGCGUAAAGAGCUCGUAGGCGGUUUGUCGCGUCUGCUGUGAAAACCCGAGGCUCAACCUCGGGCCUGCAGUGGGUACGGGCAGACUAGAGUGCGGUAGGGGAGAUUGGAAUUCCUGGUGUAGCGGUGGAAUGCGCAGAUAUCAGGAGGAACACCAAUGGCGAAGGCAGAUCUCUGGGCCGUAACUGACGCUGAGGAGCGAAAGCAUAGGGAGCGAACAGG